AACCUGGUUGAUCCUGCCAGUAGUCAUAUGCUUGUCUCAAAGAUUAAGCCAUGCAUGUCUCAGUAUAAGCUUCCAUACGGCGAAACUGCGAAUAGCUCAUUAAAACAGUUAUAGUUUAUUUGAUGGUCAACAAUUACAUGGAUAACCGUGGUAAUUCUAGAGCUAAUACAUGCGCCCAAACCCAACUUCGUGGAAGGGUUGUGUUUAUUAGAUACAGAACCAACCCAGGCUCCGCCUGGCAUUGAGGUGAUUCAUAAUAACCGAACGGAUCUCAUGGUUCGCCGGCGACAAAUCAUUCAAGUUUCUGACCUAUCAGCUAUCGUCGGUAGGGUAUUGGCCUACCGUGGCAAUGACGGGUAACGGAGAAUUAGGGUUCGAUUCCGGAGAGGGAGCCUGAGAAACGGCUACCACAUCUAAAGGAAGGCCAGCAGGCGCGCAAAUUACCCAAUCCUGACAUAGGGAGGUAGUGACAGAAAUACCAAUACGGGGCAUUCAUGUCUCGUAAUUGGAAAUGAAUUAACUUUAAAAUCCCUUUACGAAUUAUCC
rnacentral:rRNA from 1 species